rnacentral:lncRNA from 1 species
GUAAAUUAAAAUUUAGUCACAGAUAUCGGAAAUCUGGGAGAGUCUCAGAGUUAAGCAAGAAAAAGUAUGUUGACAUAUGUUUGUUUGGUUUCCCUUGCAUAUAUCGAAACAUUCCCUUAUUGUUUGGAUGGCUAUCUUGAAUCGUCUUUGAACUAGGGAUAGAUUGGAUUUGUAGAGGCAUGGGAUUAAUGCCACUUGUAGUUUUUGUACUUGCAUGAAGGGGUGUAGAAAUAAUUUAUUCUUUGGCAAGUUGGGAAAAG